rnacentral:rRNA from 1 species
GACGAACGCUGGCGGCGUGCUUAACACAUGCAAGUCGAACGGAGUUUAAGAGGAAGCUUGCGAAUCUUAAACUUAGUGGCGGACGGGUGAGUAACGCGUGGAUAACCUGCCUACAUGACUGGGACAACACCGGGAAACUGGUGCUAAUACCGGAUACGCGCAUCUUUAUACAUGUAGAGAUGAGGAAAGGAGAAAUCCGCAGGUAGAUGGGUCGGAGUCCCAUUAGCUAGUUGGGGGUGUAACGGACCACCAAGGCGACGAUGGGUAGCCGGCCUGAGAGGGUGAACGGCCACACCGGAACUGAGACACGGUCCAGACUCCUACGGGAGGCAGCAGUGGGGAAUCUUCCGCAAUGGGCGAAAGCCUGACGGAGCAACGCCGCGUGAGUGAGGAAGGCCUUCGGGUCGUAAAGCCCUGUCUUCAGGGAAGAAAAAAAUGACGGUACCUGAGGAGGAAGCCCCGGCUAACUACGUGCCAGCCGCCGCCGUAAGAC